UGAGGAAUAUUGGUCAAUGGACGAGAGUCUGAACCAGCCAAGUCGCGUGAGGGAAGACUGCCCUAUGGGUUGUAAACCUCUUUUAUAAGGGAAGAAUAAGUUCUACGUGUAGAAUGAUGCCUGUACCUUAUGAAUAAGCAUCGGCUAACUCCGUGCCAGCAGCCGCGGUAAUACGGAGGAUGCGAGCGUUAUCCGGAUUUAUUGGGUUUAAAGGGUGCGUAGGCGGUUUAUUAAGUUAGUGGUUAAAUAUUUGAGCUAAACUCAAUUGUGCCAUUAAUACUGGUAAACUGGAGUACAGACGAGGUAGGCGGAAUAAGUUAAGUAGCGGUGAAAUGCAUAGAUAUAACUUAGAACUCCGAUAGCGAAGGCAGCUUACCAGACUGUAACUGACGCUGAUGCACGAGAGCGUGGGUAGCGAACAG
rnacentral:rRNA from 1 species